GUCCCGGUAGCUCAGCUGGUAGAGCACAUGACUGUUAAUCAUGGGGUCGUAGGUUCGAGUCCUGCCCGGGACG
rnacentral:tRNA from 2 species